ensembl:lncRNA novel transcript
CUGAAGUCUUCGUGGGUGUAGGUUUCUUCGUUAUGCUGACGACAGGCAGUGCCCGAACUCUAGGCUGGGAGUUGUGCCAUGCUGCUGCUUUCGUGGGCUGACCAGAAAAGGGUAGAAGGAUUGACGUUUACGAAGUUUUUGAAUCAGGAGGCAAGGUCGCCUUGUGCCCCCAAAAGGAUAGAAAAAGGCCUGGCAAACUGGAGAAUCGCGUCCUUACGGUGCCUACAUAUUUAUAGUACGAAUUAAACUGCUCAAGGGGUGC